rnacentral:rRNA from 1 species
GACGUAGGGCGCGAGCGUUGUCCGGAUUUAUUGGGCGUAAAGAGCUCGUAGGCGGCUCGUUGCGUCGGCUGUGAAAUCCCGAGGCUCAACCUCGGGUCUGCAGUCGAUACGAGCAAACUAGAGUGUUGCAGGGGAGACUGGAAUUCCUGGUGUAGCGGUGAAAUGCGCAGAUAUCAGGAGGAACACCGGUGGCGAAGGCGGGUCUCUGGGCAACAACUGACGCUGAGGAGCGAAAGCGUGGGGAGCGAACAGG